UGGUUGAUUCAAGAAUGUUUG
ensembl:piRNA 21ur-4010 ncRNA